rnacentral:rRNA from 1 species
UACAGAGGUGCCGAGCGUUAGGCGGAAUCACUGGGCUUAAAGCGCGUGUAGGCGGGUCGUUAAGUGUCCGCGUGAAAUCCCACGGCUCAACCGUGGAACUGCCCGGGCAUACUGGCGACCUUGAGGCACUUAGGGGCGAGCGGAACAAAUGGUGGAGCGGUGAAAUGCGUAGAUAUCAUCAGGAACACCAGAGGCGAAGGCGGCUCACUGGGUCUUUUCUGACGCUGAGGAACGAAAGCUAGGGGAGCAAACGGG